UACAGAGGGUGCAAGCGUUAAUCGGGAUUACUGGGCGUAAAGCGAGCGUAGGUGGCUUGAUAAGUCAGAUGUGAAAUCCCCGGGCUUAACCUGGGAACUGCAUCUGAUACUGUUAAGCUAGAGUAGGUGAGAGGGAAGUAGAAUUCCAGGUGUAGCGGUGAAAUGCGUAGAGAUCUGGAGGAAUACCGAUGGCGAAGGCAGCUUCCUGGCAUCAUACUGACACUGAGGCUCGAAAGCGUGGGUAGCAAACAGG
rnacentral:rRNA from 1 species